rnacentral:lncRNA from 1 species
AUUGCCGUUAAAAGUGACAUCACUUGUUGUCCAUGGAAGCCAUCAAAUAUGGGGCAAAAGCUCAAAAUUCAUAACAGGAUGUGAUUAACUGUUUGUCUUGCGCAACCAAAAUGAGUUCAUGUUCCAAAUCACUUCUUGGAACUCAUAAAGGAAUGCAUGGAUCUGGGUACUGUAGAGUUACCAAUUCAACUGGUACCUGGUUGAUAGGUAGCAGCACACAUCAUUUCCUCAAAAAGUAGAAUUAUCACAAUGCAACCAAUUUUGUGUUAUAUUCAAGUACAAUGAAUUAAGCUUCUUGUAUUCCUAAGUUCUAUACGACAAUCAAGUCCUAAUUAGAUUGUUAAGGGCAGAAUUUCAACCCAUGUGAUAUUUUCGAUCCACGCUAUGUUGGGCAUAUAAGAAACUACACAACCUAUAUGGCACUACAUAGGGAAGUUUGUGCACCAGCAUAAUAAAUAUACUGAUAAAUAACUGAGCACAACCAUCUUAAAGUGCAGUGGAAAUUGCAAGCUGCUCGACAUCAAUGCAUAAUGACACAAGUGUUUUGUCCAUUGUCACUACCUAAAACUUGAACGAAGACCCUACUGCAGCUCAUCACCUGCAUGGAAGUUAAUAUCUUUGUAUCCUUUUGUGCAGAUACUACCUCAGACAAACUAUCUACUUAAACACAGUAUCUUAAACUGACCAGUAUUGCUGACUUCUGACAACCAAAAUCAAGUGUAAAAGUGGACACGAUCAAUGAUGAAUUGUUUGCUACAUGCUAAGCUAUUAUUUUUGUAGUGCACUUUCUACUCCUUAAUGAAAUACAUGCUAAAAAAUUAAUUGUUUACUACAGGUUUUUAAAACAGACAUGCGCUAAUUAUAAGCGACAAUGUUAAUCUGAAACCUAUGCUAAUCAUAUCAGGCCAUAUUUCUAGAAUUGAGACAACUCCAUAUCCAAGAGCAUGUUAGACCACAUUUCAAGAUCUGAGCCAAAUCAGUACCCAAGAUGAUAAGAAUUGCUCUUUUCUUAGUACUGCUUGAAAUUCCAAACUAUUUGAUGAAUGUAAAUUUCAGAAUAAAAUACCAGCCAUACUAACCUCCAUGGAUAUAAGGCUGUGGUACUUAACGCAACCCUGUAGAGAAGCACAAAAUAGUUUAGAAUGAGCAAAAAGAUAUUUACAUGUUGUUGUCACUUCAUAAAUUGCAGAGAUGGAAAAUAAAAAGGAAAUUCUGCUAGAUAUGUCCAUCUGAAAUCCUAUUGAUAUAAGUGCCUCAUUCACAGUAGUCAUAUGUUCAUUUGAAAUAAGAAAUAAAGGAUAGAUCAAUCAAUCCUAUUUCACUGUUAUACAAUAGGAGAUAUGGACUAAGCUUUUUAACUUGAUACACCUGAAUGGGAAAUAACAUAGUGAACAUAUAUUGAAAUGUUAGAUAAAGCAACACUAUUUUAGGUUUUCAGCACAUGCUAAGUCUAAUUUUCUGUUGAGAUUCUGUACUGCCCAUGCUGCCUGGAUUGCUUCAAGCCUAAGAUUGCCCAUUGCCCAUAUAUUAUCUGAAACCACCAAAGAACAUUCACUCAAGGCAGCUUAAAUACUUAUGAAGGAGCUAAUGUGCUUAUCAGACAGUGGCAAGAUGUCAAAGGAAUAUAGUGACUGAAUCAACAAAAAAUAGUAUAUGCUUAUAGCAGUAAAAUCAAAACAAAAAUGGUAGAUACAUACCAGUAGCAACUUAAUGAGUUAGAAAUAUGUUGUGACAAAAACAAGGCAAAAAAGAUCUAACUAAAAAGAAUUUCAGUUAGAUUUAUUUUCUUACAUAACCUUAGACAUCCUCCACUAACUUGAUUAAACUUAUUUAGGUAAAUUGGACAUCAGAAGAUCAUUCUACUUCUUCUCCAAAAUAAAUCAUUCAUCAAAACAGAAUCGUUCAAACAAUAUAGAAUGUUUGAGGCCAAAUAAGAAUGAGUACAUUUUCCAGCAAAUAUGUUAGGCAAACUCCAUCCUGUGGUUCAUGGUAUGUUGAUGGAAACUGUCAGAAUCUCGAAGCACUACAACACCAACCCAAAGAAAAAAUUAGUGACAAUAAUAACCCCUAGAUAGCGUAUAUGCUACGGAGUAAACUCAAAUGAAAUACACAAAUUUAAUUUAUCUGGUACUCAAAUAUUAAACAAGAAGUAAUAUUUAUAUGAUAUUCUUGUUUAUGUGCAAUAGCCAAUAAUCCACAUGAUUUUGUUUUAAAAUUACUCUGCGAUUUCAGGUUUAUGACUGUAACACCCGGCCCAGGGCUCAAUAGGAUUAAUAGGAGACUCAUACCAACAAGUUGCAACUUCUUUUCCGGAAGCCUAUCUCGAAAGAACUUUAAAGUUAAGCGUGCUUGGUCUAGAGCAAUUUAGGGAUGGGUGACCGACCGGGAAGUACUUUCCGGGUGCGCGCGAGUGAGGACAAAGUGUGCAGAAAAGACGAAGUGUUGGUCUGUGGGGACUGACUAUAUCCUACAAAAGCUGCCAGAUGUAAGCGGGCCUGGCCUCGUUUAAGGGGGUGAGGAUGUAACACCCGGCCCAGGACUCAAUAGGAUUAAUAGGAUACUCAUACCAACAAGUUGCAACUUCUUUUCUGGAAGCCUAUCUCGAAAGAACUUUAAAGUUAAGCGUGCUUGGCCUAGAUACUUCCCGGGUGCGCGCGAGUGAGGACAAAGUGUGCAGAAAAGACGAAGUGUUGGUCUGUGGGGACUGACUAUAUCCUACAAAAGCUGCCAGAUGUAAGCGGGUCCGGCCUCGUGGAGGCGGGACGUUACAAUGACUUUCUUAGACUUUCAUGUCAGCGAGUGAUAUAGGAACCAUAUUUAUUUUUAGUUGAACCAAUGCAAAACGCUUUGUCAUAUUAUAAGUUUGUUUCCUUUGAAGAUAAGAUACAUCACUUUGUAGCCACUUGCCUAGCUUGGGCAGACUGCAGCUCGUUAGGGGAUAUCAUUGUGCAUAUCAACUUGAGCUCUGGGAGGUUGCUCAUACCUGUGGAAGAAGAAAACAAACAAAAACAGAGCUUGACAUCUCAUUGUAGCUCCAAUGACACGCAAGGUUAACAAACUAUAAAAGAAUGUUUUUUACUCAACCGAGUAUCCAAAUAAGCACACAUCACUGGACAUAAAUUUGACAAACAAAUUCAAAAGAUUUCAGGGGAAUUUCGUCAAACAUGUUACCUGCGCUAGUAUGUGGAAGUCCACACGACAAAAGAAACAAAUAAAUACGACAUCGUUCUUGUUUUGCACGCAGUCGGAGGAGUUGAUGCCAGAGCCGACUUGGCUAGCAGCGUCCGGCCAUGAAUGGAUGCUCGGCCCCAGAGCAUGGGCCCCUGGACUCACUGUUGUUGGCACUCUGCUCCGCCACCGGAGCGGGCACCGGCGUGGCCGCUCGCUCGGCCACCGGAGAUUGAGAGAACCGGGCACCGACGUUCGCGGCGCGGGCAGCGGGCACCGGCGCGGCCGCUCUCGCGCGGGCAACACGGCCACCAGAAUCCGCGCGGGCGCGGCGCGGGCGCUCGGCACCGGAGAUCGAGUGGAGCGGGCACCAGCGGGCACCGACGUUCGCGGCGUGGGCAGCGGGCACCGGUGCGGCCGCUCUCGCGCGGGCAACGCGGCCACCAGAGUCCGCGCGGGCGCGGCGUGGUCGCUCGGCCACCGGAGAUUGAGAGGAGCGGGCACCGGCGUGGACGCUCGCUCGCUCGGCCACCGGAGAUCGAGAGGACCUGGCACCGGCGCGGCCGCUCGGCCAGCGGGCUCACGGCGG